rnacentral:misc_RNA from 1 species
GGAGAAUAAUCUAUUAGGGUAUUUGUACACACGUAAAGUGGAUUCCAAUCCCUUCAAACGUCUAGGAAUACAAGUAUAGACAUCAUACACACAUACAUAGUUGUCACGUUGUUGGAAAGAGAGACGAGAAUCUGCACAUGUCGAAAUAACAUCAACUGGAAACAAGAAAACUAGAUAGAUUUUCAGCUGGUUGACUGGUAUGUUCGACGCCUGAGUUGAGAUUCUGUACUAGGCUGCUGCAAGAAAA